rnacentral:rRNA from 1 species
AUUGAACGCUGGCGGCAGGCCUAACACAUGCAAGUCGAACGAGAGGCGGACGGGUGAGUACUGUCUGGGAAACUGCGCGAUGGAGGGGGAUAACUAGUGUAAACGUUAGCUAAUACCGCAUACCCUCGGAUGUGCUCAGAUGGGAUUAGCUAGUAGGUGGGGUAACGGCGCACCUAGGCGACGAUCCCUAGCUGGUCUGAGAGGAUGACCAGCCACACUGGAACUGAGACACGGUCCAGACUCCUACGGGAGGCAGCAGUGGGGAAUAUUGCACAAUGGGCGCAAGCCUGAUGCAGCCAGGCCGCGUGUCUGAAGAAGGCCUUCGGGUUGUAAAGUACUUUCAGCGAGGAGGCGUUACUCGCAGAAGAAGCACCGGCUAACUCCGUGCCAGCAGCCGCGGUAAUAC